AAAUUUUGGACCUGAAGUUGAAGAAAAGAGUGAAAAGCUCGGGGUCUUCCAAGACGGACCAAGUAUUCCAAGUCUUCGAUUAUGAUAUUGAUAUUCAUAUCUGCAUAUUCUUAAUUUAAUUAAGAGCCUUAAAAGAUAAUGUGAUUACACUUCCAAGAUGAAUCUACCAGAGAAGGAAGAACAAUUUCUAUCUGUGCUUCAACACUUGGAGUUUUCACAGAAAUCUGAUCCAUCACAACUUGCUGACAAAUACAGAAAUUUCUAUUUACACCUAAGUGACAAGCAAGAAGAAUUGUUU
rnacentral:sRNA from 1 species